AUUGAACGCUGGCGGCAGGCCUAACACAUGCAAGUCGAACGAGUGGCGGACGGGUGAGUAAUGUCUGGGAAACUGCACGAUGGAGGGGGAUAAAUACUGGAAACAGUAGCUAAUAACGCAUACCAUCGGAGGUGCACAGAUGGGAUUAGCUAGUAGGUGGGGUAACGGCUCACCUAGGCGACGAUCCCUAGCUGGUCUGAGAGGAUGACCAGCCACACUGGACAUGAGACCCGGUCCCGACUCCUACGAGAGGCAGCAGUGGGGAAUAUUGCACAAUGGGCGCACGCCUGAUACAGCCAUGCCGCGUUUAUGAAGAAGGCCUUCGGGUUGUAAAGUACUUUCAGCUAGGAGGCGUUACUCGCAGAAGAAGCACCGGCUAACUCCGUGCCAGCAGCCGCGGUAAUAC
rnacentral:rRNA from 1 species